rnacentral:rRNA from 1 species
UACGGGGGGGGCAAGCGUUGUUCGGAAUUACUGGGCGUAAAGGGCUCGUAGGCGGCCAACUAAGUCAGACGUGAAAUCCCCAGGCUUAACCUGGGAACUGCGUCUGAUACUGGAUGGCUUGAAUUCGGGAGAGGGAUGCAGAAUUCCAGGUGUAGCGGUGAAAUGCGUAGAUAUCUGGAGGAACACCCGUAGCGAAGGCGGCACUCUGGGCCGGAACUGACGCUGAGGAGCGAAAGCGUGGGGAGCAAACAGG